rnacentral:rRNA from 1 species
UGGGGAAUUUUGGACAAUGGGCGAAAGCCUGAUCCAGCAAUGCCGCGUGUGUGAAGAAGGCCUUCGGGUUGUAAAGCACUUUUGUCCGGAAAGAAAUCCUUGGCUCUAAUACAGUCGGGGGAUGACGGUACCGGAAGAAUAAGCACCGGCUAACUACGUGCCAGCAGCCGCGGUAAUACGUAGGGUGCAAGCGUUAAUCGGAAUUACUGGGCGUAAAGCGCGCGCAGGCGGUUUGCUAAGACCGAUGUGAAAUCCCCGGGCUCAACCUGGGAACUGCAUUGGUGACUGGCAGGCUAGAGUAUGGCAGAGGGGGGUAGAAUUCCACGUGUAGCAGUGAAAUGCGUAGAGAUGUGGAGGAAUACCGAUGGCGAAGGCAGCCCCCUGGGCCAAUACUGACGCUCAUGCACGAAAGCGUGGGGAGCAAACAGGAUUAGAUACCCUGGUAGUCCACGCCCUAAAACGAUGUCAACUAGUUGUUGGGGAUUCAUUUCCUUAGUAACGUAGCUAACGCGUGAAGUUGACCGCCUGGGGAGUACGGUCGCAAGAUUAAAACUCAAAUGAAUUGACGGGGUCAUAGCUG